AGGGAAUCUUCCACAAUGGACGCAAGUCUGAUGGAGCAACGCCGCGUGAGUGAAGAAGGUUUUCGGACCGUAAAGCUCUGUUGUUGGUGAAGAAGGAUAGAGGUAGUAACUGGCCUUUAUUUGACGGUAAUCAACCAGAAAGUCACGGCUAACUACGUGCCAGCAGCCGCGGUAAAUCGUAGGUGGCAAGCGUUGUCCGGAUUUAUUGGGCGUAAAGCGAGCGCAGGCGGAAGAAUAAGUCUGAUGUGAAAGCCCUCGGCUUAACCGAGGAAUUGCAUCGGAAACUGUUUUCUUGAGUGCAGAAGAGGAGAGUAGAACUCCAUGUGUAGCGGUGGAAUGCGUAGAUAUAUGGAAGAAUACCAGUGGCGAAGGCGGCUCUCUGGUCUGCAACUGACGCUGAGGCUCGAAAGCAUGGGUAGCGAACAGGAUUAGAUACCCUGGUAGUCCAUGCCGUAAACGAUGAGUGCUAAGUGUUGGGAGGCUUCCGCCUCUCAGUGCUGCAGCUAACGCAUUAAGCACUCCGCCUGGGGGAGUACGACCGCAAGGUUGAAAC
rnacentral:rRNA from 1 species